rnacentral:rRNA from 1 species
GAAUAUUGGACAAUGGGCGCAAGCCUGAUCCAGCCAUGCCGCGUGAGUGAUGAAGGCCUUAGGGUUGUAAAGCUCUUUCAGUGGGGAAGAUAAUGACGGUACCCACAGAAGAAGCCCCUGCUAACUUCGUCCCAGCAGCCGCGGUAAUACGGAGGGGGCUAGCGUUAUUCGGAAUUACUGGGCGUAAAGCGCACGUAGGCGGACCAGAAAGUUAGGGGUGAAAUCCCGGGGCUCAACCUCGGAACUGCCUCUAAAACUCCUGGUCUUGAGUUCGAGAGAGGUGAGUGGAAUUCCGAGUGUAGAGGUGAAAUUCGUAGAUAUUCGGAGGAACACCAGUGGCGAAGGCGGCUCACUGGCUCGAUACUGACGCUGAGGUGCGAAAGCGUGGGGAGCAAACAG